rnacentral:tRNA from 1 species
CGGGAUGUGGCGCAGUCUGGUAGCGUACACGCCUGGGGGGCGUGGGGUCGCAGGUUCAAAUCCUGUCAUCCCGAC